AUUGAACGCUGGCGGCAUGCUUUACACAUGCCAGUCGAACGGUAACAGGCCUUCGGGUGCUGACGAGUGGCGAACGGGUGAGUAAUGCAUCGGAACGUACCCAGAGGUGGGGGAUAACGCAGCGAAAGCUGUGCUAAUACCGCAUGUGAUCUGAGGAUGAAAGCGGGGGACCGAGCAGCAAUGUUUGGCCUCGCGCCUUUGGAGCGGCCGAUGUCGGAUUAGCUAGUUGGUGGGGUAAAGGCCUACCAAGGCGACGAUCCGUAGCUGGCCUGAGAGGACGACCAGCCACACUGGGACUGAGACACGGCCCAGACUCCUACGGGAGGCAGCAGUGGGGAAUUUUGGACAAUGGGCGCAAGCCUGAUCCAGCAAUGCCGCGUGCGGGAAGAAGGCCUUCGGGUUGUAAACCGCUUUUGGCAGGAACGAAACGGUGUCCGCUAAUACCGGGCGCUAAUGACGGUACCUGCAGAAUAAGCACCGGCUAACUACGUG
rnacentral:rRNA from 1 species